CCUACGGGAGGCAGCAGUGGGGAAUAUUGGACAAUGGGCGAAAGCCUGAUCCAGCAACGCCGCGUGAAGGAAGAAGGCUUUCGGGUUGUAAACUUCUUUUGUCAGGGACGAAGCAAGUGACGGUACCGGACGAAUAACCCACGGCUAACUACGUGCCAGCAGCCGCGGUAAUACGUAGGUGGCAACGGUUAUCCGGAUUUACUGGGGGUAAAGGGGGUGUAGGCGGGGCAGCAAGUCAGAUGUGAAAGCCACGGGCUCAACCUGUGGACUGCAUUGGAAACUGUUGUUCUUGAGUGCUGGAGAGGCGAUCGGAAUUCCGUGUGUAGCGGUGAAAUGCGUAGAUAUACGGAGGAACACCAGUGGCGAAGGCGGAUUACUGGACAGUGACUGACGCUGAGGCGCGAAAGCGUGGGGAGCAAACAGGAUUAGAUACCCGAGUAGUC
rnacentral:rRNA from 1 species